rnacentral:lncRNA from 1 species
GAAAUACAUUAAUUGCCAUAACAAAAGACGUUUUAUUCAAUAUAUCCAAAGCUGUCGACAAGACAAUCAAGUAUCAAGCUGGGAUGAUGUGGCAACCAGAUCCCUAUACGUAGACGAUGAACUCCGGAUGAUUGUAUAAUAUGGAAUAUAUUGAAAAAUGGUGCUACAAGAGGUGAGCACGAACUUUAUUAUACAAAUUUCACACUAAAAUCUAACAACAGCUUAAGUUAUCAUGAGACACCAGUACCCCCAUCCCUCGCUUUGACAAAGCAAGAUUGUCCAAUUGUAUUAAUUUGUUCACCAAUCCAUAAGCAAAUAUACAUUUCAAAAGAAAGAAAAUUUCAAGAAUUGCUUAUCUAAAUAGGAUAAGGCGUCCAAAAGAAGGGUCAUGCUCUCACCCUUUAGCUUAGCAAAAAGGCUAAAGUCAUCAGUUCAAAUCCAUUUAAAGGGCUUUUUCACGGAUGUUUCAAACACGCUAUUUUUUUGGUAUGUCGCUCAUUCAAAGCGAAUGAAUAAUACAUAGAGAUCAGAUAUACCCAUGGCUGAUUAUAGACUCUAUAACGCCUAUUUCAAAGGAUGGUCAACAGACUUGGAAAGUCACCUUCUUCUUUAUCAUGUUAUUCUACUACAAUGUCUCACCUAAUGCCUAUUGCCUUGCAGGAAGUCUCCUAGAAAGAAGCAAGAACCGAAGGCCUAUUAUAAAAUUCAGUGCAUGAACCUAUCAAGAAAAUGAAAUCGAUCCUUUUCUUUUAGUUGGAGUGGCUUCUCACUCCUCCUAUGUAAUCACAAGAAAGAGAAGCACGGAGAUACAAUAAAAUCAAUCAAGAGAUUACUGACUUUGAGCAUAUGAUGAUGGAGAUUUUAUCGAAGGGUUACCAAAAAUAUGUACUUAUUUUAUGCAUAAAGAUAAAAAAUGAAUUAUAAUUUAUUUUCUUGACAUAGUCAUUUAAUAUAUUCAUUCUGCCAGUUUGGAAAGUCGGGCACUAGUCCUUUUUCGUUAGGAUUUUAAGUACAAAUUCUCCAAUCCUUUUCUCUUUCUCUUUCCCUUCUACUUCGUAUGAAUUCUUCAGAAUGGUUUGCAAAAGUAAAGAAAGUAAACUGCAGCAGAUAUCUGUUUCAAAUGAAUAUUUAUUUCAAACUAGGGAGCAUAUUGUAAAAUGCCUAUGUAGAAAGACAUAAAACCAAGGAGAUAUUCCUGUAAGAUUUUAGAUAAGUACCACCAUUUACCUUAAUGUAACUUCCAUUUCAUCUUCCUCACCAUCCAAAUUUCUCAGUAGAUUGACAAUGGAAUUGAUUUUACAGAUGGUCACUACAGUUCACAUUGUUCUAUUCGAAACAAAUAAAUUUCUUUCACACAAACUAUUGGAAUAGUAAAAUUUCCAAAGUGUCAAUCAUAGUGCUAAAUUUUGCAGUCAUAAAGGACUUUUAAAAACGCCACAUGUUAGAGAUAAAACAUCAGUCUUCUAGUUAUAAACUGCGGAUGCAUGAAUAUGUGGAGCACGAGGAAAUCCUUAUUUUUGGUCUCUUUUAUUGAACCAAAAAUUUGUAUUAGAUCGACUGUAAAGCUGCUAAACAGGUUAGAUACAGAUAUUAAAACUUUUCUUCCAAGCAAUUUACUCAUUGGAAAAUUGCAUCACCUGUAUCUUAUGUGAUUUAACUUUCUGAUCCAAGCUUGCGAAUAGAAUGUGCUAAGAAUGACACCAGUGGAACAAGAUAAAUCCAACUCCAUAUAAGUUAUCUAUUUAUCUAUGCAAAGGCCAACCAAACAGAGAAAGAGGAAUAGUUUCUCUAAAACAAGGUGUAAUUAUAUUUCCAAUUGAGGAUGGCAAUGCAAAGUAUUCUUCACCAGUAACUUUCCUCAAAUUAAUCCUUCCAAAAUGACUGCUGACAAGAUUAUGGUCUCAUUCUUGAGGUCACCAAACCAGCCGACAUGAUGCAAAAUAAUACGAAGAUUCGAUUGUAUGUACUUAAACAACACAUAAAAUUAUUUCUCCAAGGAUAUGCAACAGAACAAGCAAACAUACAAUUGAAGUACAGAAAGACGCGCUAUUUUCCCUUCUGAAUGUGAAAAGCAUAGUGUAUUUAAUAAAUUUCAAUAAUUCCCCCAAUCGGUUUGGUUGGAUUAAAAAGAUAGCAAUUUGUGAUUGAGAAUUAAAAAAUAUUUAACAUUGUUCGAAUCUUGAUUAAAUUACUGCAAACAUUUCUUGCUAUUGAAUAUACAAUUACUAUCUAACUCAAAAAUUAAUCAUGGUACAAAAUACUUCCACACUAUAAGAAUUGGCGCCAAUCAGCUUUCAUGUCCAAAGAAAAUUUCAUCAUCACCUUCCUUUUAAAAGAAAUAACGCAAAAAUAAAACAAAAUAGUAAUACACAGGACAAAGGCUGCUAACAAUGGAAUGAGCGUACAUUGCAAUAUUGUGAAUAGCAUUUUAAUUAAUGUCGCAAAGCCCUAACUUACAGCAAGGAAAAUAUAAAUAAAUCAGCAUUUAUUUGUAAAAUAGAAAGAAUCUUCUUUUAAUUACCCAGCAUUUCAAUAUUAUCAACCAAAAUCAAAAGUUUAAAAUCAGAAACAGUCCCCCGGAAACUAAAAGGGGCUUACAUAGAUUACAGAUGAACGACAAUGAGGGUGUUGACUAGAUUGAAAUUAGAAGAGAGAGAGAGAGAGAAAAAAAAAACACUUUUUCGCCACUACACUCGUGAAUUCGAUGCUGACAAAAAAAGUCCCCAAAAGCUGGCUUUUAAGCUAGCCCAAACAUUAUCGAAUACCCAACAAAAUUCAACCGUAGUUCUCUGGAAAAAAUAAAAAAAAUCGACAAGACUACAAAUACAGCUCUGUACAUGUGUAAUGUACGUUCAAAUACCCAACAAAAUUCACUAACCGUAGUUCUCGGGGGGGAN